rnacentral:rRNA from 1 species
AGGAUGAACGCUGGCGGCGUGCUUAACACAUGCAAGUCGAACGAUGAAGGCUGGAGCUUGCUCUGGCUGGAUUAGUGGCGAACGGGUGAGUAACACGUGAGUAACCUGCCCCAGACUCUGGGAUAAGCGCUGGAAACGGCGUCUAAUACCGGAUACGAGCUUCCACCGCAUGGUGAGGAGCUGGAAACGAAUUUUCGGUCUGGGAUGGACUCGCGGCCUAUCAGCUUGUUGUGAGUAUGCUCACAGGCGACGACGGGUAGCCGGCCUGAGAGGGUCGACCGGCCACGACGUGGGACUGAGACGACGGCCCAGACUCCGUA